CACAUUCCUGUCAUUUCAUGCAGCCAGUGUCAAUGUAGAUCUACAGUACCUGACACAGAGUGAAGGAAGACGACAAAUCCACUGGCUGCUGCUGUUAAACUCAUAGCUGCUCCUGUCAUCAGUCUGUGGGACUUCAGAGACAAUAAAACAUGUCAGCAGGUAAAUAAAUGUACACAGGACGUAUUUCAGUCAUGUCCAUAAACGACCCUACUCACAUUAGAGAAGCAGGUUGUCUCUAAAGAUGCCUCUCCUCUGUCUUUACAAAGCAGAAGUUAAAUGACGCUGAUGAGACUUCCUUCCUCUUCACAUCAUUAAUAUGCACAAUGAGCCAAUGAUCCACAUAUGGGUUUGUAAGUUGCAAAUCUCUUGUGGUGACCCGUUUCAUCUAUUUACAUAUUUUCGACUCUGACCUGUUAACAGGACUCUGUUUCUUGAUUCAAACCUGGAACAGUCCAAACCACAACAACAUGGUCCAUUUGUCACGUCAGUAAAGAAUCCUAUUUAUGAAGAAGGACGUGGUUUUAGAAGAGGAUAUUCUCAUCAUCCCUAAGCAGAAGAAAAAACCUCACAGUGUCAAAAUACACCAGACUUCCUUCUUCUAAUUUUUAACAUGUACAAUAAACCACAUUUCAAAAACCACUAAAAUAUUAACAAAGUUGUGUUGGUCAGAAAACUAAAAUGUUAAUAAACUUUAUAGAGACACAGAUGAGUUAUGUGCUCUGUUAGUAACAACACUGGAACAAAAACAUCAUUUUAUCAGUCAUUUAAAUAAGAAAAGAAAAAAGCUGAUGAAAGUGAAUGGUGCAUUGACUCAGUAUCACUGCAGAGGAUGAGUGAGUGAACCAAACAUCAACAUGUAACACACAUCAUCCACUGGACUGGUAGCAGCUGCUUUGGACACACACUGAUGAAUGGUGUGACACUGGGAUUAAUUCCAGUGUGUUCAAUUAUCCACUGGACAUGGUUUGAAAGUUGAUGCUUCCAGUGAGAAGUGAAUGUUCUGAACAGACUUCAUUGGCUUUUUCUGCCAGAACAGCUGUGAUGUGACAAAGAACAUUUGAAUGGAACUACUGCACCUACAAACAACAAAUUAUUAAGAUUAUUUAUGUAAAUAAC
rnacentral:lncRNA from 1 species